AACGAACGCUGGCGGCGCGCCUAAUACAUGCAAGUCGAGCGAGAAGACGUAGCAAUACGUUUGUAAAGCGGCGAACGGGUGAGGAAUACAUGGGUAACCUACCCUCGAGUGGGGAAUAACUAGCCGAAAGGUUAGCUAAUACCGCGUACGCUCCUUGGACUUCGGUUCAGGGAGGAAAGCGAUACCGUGGGUAUCGCGCUCUUGGAUGGGCUCAUGUCCUAUCAGCUUGUUGGUGAGGUAACGGCUCACCAAGGCUUCGACGGGUAGCUGGUCUGAGAGGACGAUCAGCCACACUGGCACUGCGACACGGGCCAGACUCCGUACGGGAGGCAGCAGGUAAGGAAUAUUGCGCAAUGGGACGAAAGCCUGACGCAGCGACGCCGCGGUGGGGGAU
rnacentral:rRNA from 1 species